rnacentral:rRNA from 1 species
GAACGCUAGCUACAGGCUUAACACAUGCAAGUCGAGGGGCAGCAUGGUCUUAGCUUGCUAAGGCCGAUGGCGACCGGCGCACGGGUGAGUAACACGUAUCCAACCUGCCGUCUACUCUUGGACAGCCUUCUGAAAGGAAGAUUAAUACAAGAUGGCAUCAUGAGUCCGCAUGUUCACAUGAUUAAAGGUAUUCCGGUAGACGAUGGGGAUGCGUUCCAUUAGAUAGUAGGCGGGGUAACGGCCCACCUAGUCUUCGAUGGAUAGGGGUUCUGAGAGGAAGGUCCCCCACAUUGGAACUGAGACACGGUCCAAACUCCUACGGGAGGCAGCAGUGAGGAAUAUUGGUCAAUGGGCGAGAGCCUGAACCAGCCAAGUAGCGUGAAGGAUGACUGCCCUAUGGGUUGUAAACUUCUUUUAUAAAGGAAUAAAGUCGGGUAUGGAUACCCGUUUGCAUGUACUUUAUGAAUAAGGAUCGGCUAACUCCGUGCCAGCAGCCGCGGUAAUACGGAGGAUCCGAGCGUUAUCCGGAUUUAUUGGGUUUAAAGGGAGCGUAGAUGGAUGUUUAAGUCAGUUGUGAAAGUUUGCGGCUCAACCGUAAAAUUGCAGUUGAUACUGGAUAUCUUGAGUGCAGUUGAGGCAGGCGGAAUUCGUGGUGUAGCGGUGAAAUGCUUAGAUAUCACGAAGAACUCCGAUUGCGAAGGCAGCCUGCUAAGCUGCAACUGACAUUGAGGCUCGAAAGUGUGGGUAUCAAACAGGAUUAGAUACCCUGGUAGUCCACACGGUAAACGAUGAAUACUCGCUGUUUGCGAUAUACAGCAAGCGGCCAAGCGAAAGCGUUAAGUAUUCCACCUGGGGAGUACGCCGGCAACGGUGAAACUCAAAGGAAUUGACGGGGGCCCGCACAAGCGGAGGAACAUGUGGUUUAAUUCGAUGAUACGCGAGGAACCUUACCCGGGCUUAAAUUGCAGAUGAAUUACGGUGAAAGCCGUAAGCCGCAAGGCAUCUGUGAAGGUGCUGCAUGGUUGUCGUCAGCUCGUGCCGUGAGGUGUCGGCUUAAGUGCCAUAACGAGCGCAACCCUUGUUGUCAGUUACUAACAGGUUCCGCUGAGGACUCUGACAAGACUGCCAUCGUAAGAUGUGAGGAAGGUGGGGAUGACGUCAAAUCAGCACGGCCCUUACGUCCGGGGCUACACACGUGUUACAAUGGGGGGUACAGAGGGCCGCUACCACGCGAGUGGAUGCCAAUCCCAAAAACCUCUCUCAGUUCGGACUGGAGUCUGCAACCCGACUCCACGAAGCUGGAUUCGCUAGUAAUCGCGCAUCAGCCACGGCGCGGUGAAUACGUUCCCGGGCCUUGUACACACCGCCCGUCAAGCCAUGGGAGCCGGGGGUACCUGAAGUGCGUAACCGCGAGGAGCGCCCUAGGGUAAAACUGGU